CUGCUGGAGGAGCUCACCGAUGGGACUUUGUCCAGACCAGGAGGGCCCUGCAUCGCAAAGUUCGGCUGAUUUUCUCGGCUCAAUCACUUCACGACAUAUACACUGGGAUACGUAUAGCUGAUCCACUCGUACAGCCCCAUCGCCGGCGUCUAACUAUAUAGCUGGCUGACCAAUACGACGACGAUGGGAGCCGUACAGCGGAUCGGCCAUAUGACCGGUCGAUGAAGAAGAGAUGACGGCGAAGACAGCGACGGCAGCCAGGACCCGAACCCCCACGACAAAACCUCCACGACAGCCCCGAAACUCCGGUUCUCGGCGUGGCCAAGCUCCGCCUGUGGCCACGCCCCCUUCUAGAACUCUCGUGCAGGUUCCCGGAGCUUCCCAACUGAUCCCCGCCUCUGACCUUUAGCCAAGUUACGCCCCGUUAUGGUUGGCUAUUAUAUAGUGCACCCAUACCCGUAAUUGUCCCUCCUGGUCAACAGAUGGCACCCUGUCACUACAUCACCCCCCCCCCCCCCCAUGUUUAAAAGAUAGUUAAUAUGAACAAAAGCAGGCAGAAAAAUUCCGUAAUAAAGAACAGUAAAAAAUCCCGAAGAAAACUCUUUUUGUUGGGCGAAACAAUCCGCGACUGAAAAGGCAGACCCAAGAACAACAAGGAAGGAAUCGCAACUUUCCACGACUCUGGAAGUUGAUGUGGGCUCGCAUAAAAGCCCUGAUGGGGUCGGCUCCAUCCCCAACUCGGGCCGGGUUGUUGCCGGUGUUCCUUCGAAUUCGGCAGGAUCUCGUGACUCCCCAACCUUCAAGGGCUCGGAAACUGUGGGCGGCACAACACAAUCCUUCUGACGCACACUCUCCGUGGCCGAUUCCCCCGGCUCGUCAGGCACAUCAAACACCAGCCGUAUAAUGUUUGGAGAUGAGGUGUCAGUUCGGUGAGGAACAUAUGGUUUCAGCCGUGACGGAUGGACAAAGCAACGGCGACGGCCCACCUGUAUACGUGGCUGUUUGACUUCCACUGCCUCCAUGGGACCCUGCCAUGGCCGAUGCAAUUUAGGGACAUUCCCAGCGGCACCUGCGGGCAGUGCAACCAUGCCCGGUCCCCUAUGGCCCAUGGCAGCACACAGUCAUGCCGCCCCACAUUCUUUUCAUUAGCAUCCUGCCCUCUGGCGGUGGUUUCUUUGGCCGCUUCGCGUAAUUCCGACAUGCGAUUUAGUGUAACUUGCAGGGGCGUAGGCAAGGUCGUUUUUCCCUUGCCCUCUGACAGGCCCAAUUGAACCUCCAUGGGGGGUUCAUUUUCCCUCCCAUACAUGAGUAAAAACGGCGAAAAUCCCGUGGAAGCAUGUGGAGCCAUCUUGUAUGCCGCCAGGACUCCCGGAACAUGCAGAUCCCAAUCCGUUUGAGCCCCACUAACCGCCUGACAGAGCAUGGAUGUCAGGAUUCUAUGCAGGCAUUCCACCAUACUAUCCGUUGGGGGAUGGUAUGGUGACGUUCUAAUUUUCUUAGUGCCUAGAACGUCACAUACUUCGUGCAGCAGCUUCGAUGAGAAAUUCCGUCCCUGAUCCGUGAGAAGCUGCUCGGGGGUCCCCUUAUCCAUUACGUAGCCGUGCACAAAUGCAUCAGCAAUGGAAGCGGCCGGUUGGUCGGGCAAUGGCCAGGCCAUCGACCACCAGGAUAAAUAUUCCACCCCUACCAGGAGAAAUGUAUUCCCUCUCUGCUUGGCCGGGAAGGGUCCCAGAAUGUCGAGCGUAACCAACUCGCUAUGUUCUGCCUCACGACAGGUGUGGGUGUGUGUGUACACCGGAAUUUCCUGUUUGGAUGUUGAGUUUGGUCACGUGACCAGGAAGUUACGAUUUUACAUCCUCUGAGCCAUGCGGCAGGGUAUCAGCCAUUACACAGAGUACAAAAUGGUGGCACAAAUAGCGUCUCAGUGGAGACAGCUGCAUCUGUUCAUUGUGGGACUUUAAGAAGCAUUGGCUGUAAGUUCGUUUAUGUUUUUAUAAUACUGGGAAUGCUGUUAUAAUGUUACAAUGGCCGUUAUAAUGCUGUUAAAUUGUUAUGAUAAAUACGAGGCCUAGUUAACAACGAAGCUUUCCACUUGCCUUAUUGUGAAUGCUACUUGUAAUUGAAUAAGUCGAGUCAGACUUGUACCCAUGUAACCUUAUUGCGAUCUUGAGAGCAAGGAUGACGAAAUAUCUCAUCCACAGUUCAGUGUUAUGUGUAGUGCUGUACAUUUAGGCAGUAGUAUGGUCGAAUCAGGGAGAGGUCGGACAAGCACGGCUCGUGACGCGUGAGACUUCGUGUUAAAAAAUACGGUGUCCGUGCGCUCUGAGUUAAGAAGCGGCGUCUCUGUUCCGCACACAGGCGGUGAAUAUGCACGAGUAGUGGCCUCUCACUUGGGGGGG